rnacentral:rRNA from 1 species
AGAGUUUGAUCCUGGCUCAGAACGAACGCUGGCGGCAGGCUUAACACAUGCAAGUCGAGCGCCCCGCGAGGGGAGCGGCAGACGGGUGAGUAACGCGUGGGGAUGUACCCAAAGGUGCGGAAUAACUCAGGGAAACUUGAGCUAAUACCGCAUGUGCCCGAGAGGGGAAAGAUUUAUCGCCUUUGGAUCAACCCGCGUCAGAUUAGCUAGUUGGUAGGGUAAUGGCCUACCAAGGCGACGAUCUGUAGCUGGUCUGAGAGGAUGAUCAGCCACACUGGGACUGAGACACGGCCCAGACUCCUACGGGAGGCAGCAGUGGGGAAUAUUGGACAAUGGGCGCAAGCCUGAUCCAGCCAUGCCGCGUGAGUGAUGACGGCCUUAGGGCUGUAAAGCUCUUUUAACAGGGACGAUAAUGACGGUACCUGUAGAAGAAGCCC